UGAAUUUAAGCAUAUAAGUAGGCGGUGGAAAAUGAACCAAAUGGGAUUCCUUAAGUAAUUGCGAAUGAACAAGGAACUGCUCAGCUUGAMAAUUGGGGCCUUCGGCCUUGAAUUGUAAUUUUGAAAUGUAUUGCCAAUGGAGGCGCAGGUGCAAGCCUAUUGAAAGAAAGCGUCAAUGAGGGUGAGAUUCCUUUUUGUCAUUUGCAGUCCUCCGUGCACGGUAUAUAUUUGACGAGUCACACUCCUUGGCAUUGGAAUGCAAAGUGGGUGGUAAAUUCCAUGUAAAGGAAAAUAUAUUAUUGAGACUGAUAGCAAACAAGUACCAUGAGGGAAAUAUGAAAAGGACUUUGAAAAGAGAAUUAAAAGAGUCUGCAUUUGCUGAACAGAAAGCAAACAGAAUUGAUCUACUUGGUGAGAUUGUUGCGUCCACUUGUGGGUGCAAUGGUUCUUGCCUUGAAUGUCAGCGUCUAUUUCUGCAAMUUAUUACCCUUGCAYAUGAAUUGUAAUUUGCCUGUGGGCAUUGGAAUGCAUGUGUUUGCAAUGAUUUGUGAUUUGAUACAUGUGUCUGGUGUUCGCGUGUGUGCCUUCUUGCUAACACGGGAGGGCUCUCCUCCCUGGGCACUGCAUGCCCUUGCACAUUGUUGCUGGCAAAAUGUUUCUGCUUGACCCGUCUUGAAACACGGACCAA
rnacentral:rRNA from 1 species